GAAUCAAAACUUUCAACAACGGAUCUCUUGGCUCUGGCAUCGAUGAAGAACGCAGCGAAACGCGAUAAGUAAUGUGAAUUGCAUGAAUCCAGUGAAUCAUCGAAUCUUUGAACGCACAUUGCGCCCGCCAGCAUUCUGGCGGGCAUGCCUGUUCGAGC
rnacentral:rRNA from 1 species